UUCUUUUCACCUUAGAAAGGAAUUAGGCAAAUGUAUCUCAACUAUCAAGUACUCUCUCUUAAUCAAUAGAGGUCAUGUGGGUUUCUUUUCACCUCAGAAAGGAAUUAGGCAAGGGGACCCUCUUUCUCCUUUUUUAUUCAUUCUAGCCAUGGAGGGUUUAAGUAAAAUGUUGGAAAAAGCCAGGCAAAUGCAAUGGAUCCAAGGAUUCAGUGUAGGCACAAACACCGAAUACUCAGUCACUAUCUCCAAUUUAUAAUAUGCUGAUGACACACUGAUCUUCUGUGAGGCAGAUAGAGUUCAAAUCUUGUACCUGAAUCUUUGACUCUAGCUAUUCGAAGCAUUGUUAGGACUUCACAUCAACAAGCAGAAAAGUAUUAUAUAUCCCGUCAAUCGGGUGAGCAACAUUGAGGAGCUGGCAGGGAUCAUUGGUUACAGUAUAGGGUCAUUGCCUACCACCUAUCUGGGGCUCUCACUAAGAGCCAAAUUCAAAAGCAGUGAUAUCUGGAAGCAGUAUAGGGUCUUUACCUACCUCCUAUCUGAGGCUUCCACUGGGAACCAAAUUCAAAAGCAGUGAUAUCUAGAAUGGUGUAGUGGAGAAUUUUGAGAAAAGACUGGCUUCAUGGCAACGACAAUACCUCUAUAUGGGAGGAACUCACCCUCAUCAGUACCGUGCUUGACAUUAUACCUUCUUAUGUCAUGUCACUGUUUCCCAUCCCUAAAAAGAUACUUAACACGCUGGACAAGAUCAGAAGGAACUUUCUAUAGGAAGGAAACAACAGUUCCCACAAGUAUCAUUUGAUUAAAUGGGACAAGGUAUUGCUACCUAAAUGCAAAGGUGGAUUGGGGGUCAAAGAUCUAGACAAGCACAACAAAGGUUUGUUAAUGAAAUGGCUCUGGAGAUAUGGAACAUGUGAAUCAAGUCUAUGCAAAGAGGUGAGCAAAACAUGGGAUUAAAGAUAAUUGGAGCACCAAAAUUGUCACUGCAUCCCAUGGAGUAGGGCCGUGGAAGCAUAUUAGCAAACUGGGCAACGAAUUCUUUCAGAAUAUUCAUUUCAAAUCAGGCAGUGGAUAUCAUAUUAAGUUUUGGAAGGAUAAAUGGAUAAACAACAAUGCUCUCAUGGAGGACUACCCUAGCUUAUUCAACAUCGCCUUGGACAAGAAUUCUUCUAUUGCCCAAAACAGAGCAAAUGGUAAUUGGAAUGUGCAACUCAGAAGAUCCGUUCAAGAUUGGGAGAUAGAAAAUUUGAUGGAAAUGCUAGCAAGAUUAGAGGCCUACAACAUUGAUGAGAAUGCUCCAGAUAGCAUGAGAUGGGGAUCUAAAGGUAGCUACACUAUUAAAGAAUGCUACAUACAACUUAACAAUCAGCAUCAGGUACUACAUUCAUGGCCAUGGAAACUGAUGGAAGACAAAGCUACCUGUGAAGGUGAAAUGCUCAACUGGAUUGCACUUCACGAAGCAUGCCUAACUCAAGAUAACCUAUGCAGAAGGGGAUUUCAGUUGGUCAAUAGAUGCUACCUGUGCAAGGGACACCUGGAAACAGUUGAUCACCUACUUUUACACUGUAGCAACAGAGCUCUGGAACAUGUUCUUUUGUAUUUUUGGUCUAAGUUGGGUAAUGCCACAGACCCUGAGAGAGGCACAUAUGAGUUGGAGUCUUUGGGAGGUUGAUAAGAUCAUUAAGGAAAUUUGGCUUGUUAUCCCUACAACUAUUUUUUGGUGUUUAUGGAACGAGAGGAAUAAAAGAUGCUUUGAUGACACCUCAACACCGAACCACUUACUCAAAUCCAAAUGCCUUCUCAACCUCUUUUGCUGGACAAAGUUGUCACCAAUAAAUAGUACAGAACAUCAUUUGGAUUUUAUUAGCUCACUUGUCCUAGAUUGAGACUUUGAUUUGGGGCAAACAAUGUUCUACCAUAAUUUUUUGUUUAUUUAGCCCUUUUGCUUCUUGUAACUUUGCAUCUUCUUGAUGCCUUCUUAAUGAAACACAUUACUUCAUAAAUAUUUUUUGAUAUUUUAGAGCUAUUAACAUCAUUUUUAUCGAAAACUGCUUCAACCUCAAGAUACCAUUAAAACAAAAUA
rnacentral:lncRNA from 1 species